AUUGAACGCUGGCGGCAGGCCUAACACAUGCAAGUCGAGCGAGCGGCGGACGGGUGAGUAAUGCCUAGGAAUCUGCCUGGUAGUGGGGGAUAACGACUGGAAACGGGCGCUAAUACCGCAUACUAUCAGAUGUGCCCAGAUGGGAUUAGCUAGUGGGUGGGGUAAAGGCUCACCUAGGCGACGAUCCCUAGCUGGUCUGAGAGGAUGACCAGCCACACUGGAACUGAGACACGGUCCAGACUCCUACGGGAGGCAGCAGUGGGGAAUAUUGCACAAUGGGCGCAAGCCUGAUACAGCCAUGCCGCGUGUAUGAAGAAGGCCUUCGGGUUGUAAAGUACUUUCAGCGGGGAGGCGUUACUCGCAGAAGAAGCACCGGCUAACUCCGUGCCAGCAGCCGCGGUAAUUC
rnacentral:rRNA from 1 species